rnacentral:misc_RNA from 1 species
CGAGCUUGCUCUUCUUGGGCACCACCCUAGGUUCCUGUGUUGCCUUCCCAUCGUAUGGAAAAAUUCGUCAGAUAGCCACGCCCCUUUCCUCUUUGUGGCUUUGCGGCUGCAAUGCGGACCUCGAAAGCGGUCCCCGUGUCCCGGACAUAUCCUCYGACUUCGGUCGUGGCUGUCUCGGUCCACGGGACAACUGCUCGCGCUCUCGGAUGUGGAAAAUUAAGCGGACGUGGGGGGGUCUUGGCCUCCGGUUGCUCCACAAUCAAGUCCCGCGAUAAGAAUGACUUUCGCUACCUCAUUGACCGCAGGCCGUCCAGGCCCGUGGCAUCAAUGCGGGUCCGUAGUCGAGAAAAAAUGCUAC